rnacentral:rRNA from 1 species
UACGAAGGGGGCUAGCGUUGUUCGGAAUUACUGGGCGUAAAGGGCGCGCAGGCGGCUAUCCAAGUCAGUGGUGAAAGCCCGGAGCUCAACUCCGGAACUGCCAUUGAAACUGUUUAGCUUGAGGAUGAGAGAGGUGAGUGGAAUUCCCAGUGUAGAGGUGAAAUUCGUAGAUAUUGGGAAGAACACCGGUGGCGAAGGCGGCUCACUGGCUCAUUACUGACGCUCAGGCGCGAUAGCGUGGGGAUCAAACAGG